GAUGAACGCUGGCGGCGUGCCUAAUACAUGCCAGUCGAGCGAACAGACGAGGAGCUUGCUCCUCUGACGUUAGCGGCGGACGGGUGAGUAACACGUGGAUAACCUACCUAUAAGACUGGGAUAACUUCGGGAAACCGGUGCUAAUACCGGAUAAUAUAUUGAACCGCAUGGUUCAAUAGUGAAAGACGGUUUUGCUGUCACUUAUAGAUGGAUCCGCGUCGCAUUAGCUAGUUGGUAAGGUAACGGCUUACCAAGGCAACGAUGCGUAGCCGACCUGAGAGGGUGAUCGGCCACACUGGAACUGAGACACGGUCCAGACUCCUACGGGAGGCAGCAGUAGGGAAUCUUCCGCAAUGGGCGAAAGCCUGACGGAGCAACGCCGCGUGAGUGAUGAAGGUCUUCGGAUCGUAAAACUCUGUUAUUAGGGAAGAACAAAUGUGUAAGUAACUAUGCACGUCUUGACGGUACCUAAUCAGAAAGCCACGGCUAACUACGUG
rnacentral:rRNA from 1 species